GAUGAACGCUGGCGGCGUGCCUAAUACAUGCAAGUCGAGCGAACAGACGAGGAGCUUGCUCCUCUGACGUUAGCGGCGGACGGGUGAGUAACACGUGGAUAACCUACCUAUAAGACUGGGAUAACUUCGGGAAACCGGAGCUAAUACCGGAUAAUAUAUUGAACCGCAUGGUUCAAUAGUGAAAGACGGUUUUGCUGUCACUUAUAGAUGGAUCCGCGCCGCAUUAGCUAGUUGGUAAGGUAACGGCUUACCAAGGCGACGAUGCGUAGCCGACCUGAGAGGGUGAUCGGCCACACUGGAACUGAGACACGGUCCAGACUCCUACGGGAGGCAGCAGUAGGGAAUCUUCCGCAAAGGGCGAAAGCCUGACAGAGCAACGCCGCGUGAGUGAUGAAGGUCUUCGGAUCGUAAAACUCUGUUAUUAGGGAAGAACAAAUGUGUAAGUAACCAUGCACGUCUUGACGGUACCUAAUCAGAAAGCCACGGCUAACUACGUG
rnacentral:rRNA from 1 species